CAUAAAAUAUUAAAGGUCCCACUUGCCCAGUGACAAAGUUUUAACGGCGCGGUAUCCGAACCAUGCAAAGGUAGUGUAAUCACUUGUCCCCUAAAUAGGGAUUAGUGUGAAUGGUUAAAUGAGGAUAAACCUGUCUCUUGUGGAAAAUCAGUGAAACUGAACUUCCAGUACAGCUUCCAUGCUGGAAUACACACAUAAGACGAGAAGACCCUGCGGAGCUUUUAAACCAGCUUCAAACAAUAAAUUGAAUACAAGUUUUCAGUUGGGGCGACUUUGGAACAAAACUAAACUUCCAAGCACCUGGAGAAUUACCUCUUGCAAUGGCUGACAGGCCAAAGCACCAUAAACCCAUGACCUGGAUUAACCUGAUUGACGAACCAGGUUACCCCAGGGAUAACAGCACUAUCUUCUUUAAGAGUCUAUAUUAUCAAGGCGGCUUACAACCUUGAUGUUGGAUCAGGACACCCUAAUGGUGCAGCCGCUAUUAUUGGUUUGUUUGUUCAACGAGUAACAGUCCUACGUGAUCUGAGUUCAGACCGGAGUAAUCCAGGUCGGUUUCUAUCUA
rnacentral:rRNA from 1 species